rnacentral:rRNA from 1 species
AGUGAACGCUGGCGGUAGGCCUAACACAUGCAAGUCGAACGGCAGCACAGUAAGAGCUUGCUCUUACGGGUGGCGAGUGGCGGACGGGUGAGGAAUACAUCGGAAUCUACUUUUUCGUGGGGGAUAACGUAGGGAAACUUACGCUAAUACCGCAUACGACCUACGGGUGAAAGCAGGGGAUCUUCGGACCUUGCGCGAUUGAAUGAGCCGAUGUCGGAUUAGCUAGUUGGCGGGGUAAAGGCCCACCAAGGGGACGAUCCGUAGCUGGUCUGAGAGGAUGAUCCGCCACACUGGAACUGAGACACGGUCCAGACUCCGACGUGAGGCAGCAGUGGGGAAUAUUGGAAAAUGGGUGCAAGCCUGAUCCAGCCAUACCGCGUGGGUGAAGAAGGCCUGCGGGUUGUAAAGCCCUUUUGUUGGGAAAGAAAAGCAGCAGGUUAAUACCCCGCUGUUCGGACGGUACCCAAAGAAUAAGCACCGGCUAACUUCGU